ACAUCCGGGCAGCUGGGGCUUUCCUUGGUUGAAAGCGGGGGCGGAACCGGGGAUCCUGCCUGGAUGGGGAGCCUGCGCCUGCUUCCCUCCGUGGAUCUCGAGUUGCUGGUCAGACCAAUGCGCAAGUCAGGGAUGUCACAUCCGGGCCACCUGGGUUGACAGCAGGGGUGGAACCGGAUUCGGCCAGGAGUUGAUUUGGGAACCAGAGAACAGCAGCCUAAGUGUGACUGUAAUUUUUGGCAGCUACAGGGAAGCCUCACACAUAUAGAAUAAUAGAGAGACUAACAUAAUGAACCCAGCAUACCUGACGCUCAGCAUCAACAACCUUAAAUACACGGCAAAUCUGGUUCCAGUUAGACACUCACCUACCUGCAUCUCAGCUGCUGGAAUAAUGUGGAUCAAAUCAAAGACAGCAUACCAUUUCAUCUCUAAAUAAUUCAAUAUUCAUUUUUAAAAGACAAGGACAUUGUACCCAGCUGUACCCCUCGCAGAGAAUGGCUGCAGGUACCAGGCGAGGUGUUCCCUGGGUGGCUGCAGCACCCGUGAUUGUAGUCACCUCUGGGUCACAAUCACU
rnacentral:lncRNA from 10 species